AAACAUUCAUUCAACAUACAUGACAUAUUACCAACCAUGCAUGGCAAAUAGGCAUAUUCACAUCACAAUUAUUAGACACAACAUGAAUAGCUAGAUUUACAAGUCAUAAUCAAUAGCACAAUAUAGGUCAAUACAUUUGGCCAAAUUAUAAUAACACAUGUUAUAAAACUAGGUCCUUAUACAUGCCACUCACUUGAUAAUUCUAACAUAUGUAACAAUAUUCCAAAGGUAUUGGCUUGAUAGUGUGAUGCUGCCUCCUAUGAUCUCCAACCCCGAGCCGACCUGACAACACUAAAAGAAAUGGAAAGGAUGGAGUAAGCUUAAAUCUUAGUAAGUCCAUAUGAAAAUAAUAAGCAAAUUAUUGACAUGAUUCCAUAGAAAUAUAAUCAUAAUUACACUUUUACUUAUUUUCUGGUCAUGCUAUUUUCUCAAGUCAUAGUUACUAAAUUAUUUAUAUCUGGAGCUACCAAACUUCAAAUUAAGGUCCGUAAAUUUUUCCUGAAACUAGACUCAUAUAUCUUUUUACCAUAAAAUUUUCAGAAUUUUCUGACCCUAUCUCACAAAAAUUCAAAUAUCUCAUAAUAUAAAAUUCUUUUACUUACACCAUUUCAAUUAUAAGAAAAUAAACUUAAUAAGAUUUAAUUUCAUUUCUUAUUCAACCUCUAAUUCGAUUUCCAUGAUUUUUGGUGAUUUUUCAAAGUUACACAACUGUUACUGUCCAAAACUGUUUUAUUACAAAUUUCACUCUUUCAUAUUUUCUUUGUAACACUUACUCCAUACCAUCUUACCGAAAGCUCGCUUAACUAUCGAGCACAUUGCUCAUUAAUUUCCACAAACAUAUACCUUACACUUAUUCAUCACAUAGUCAUGUUCACAUGUAUUUUCACUUAGUUGAUUUCCCAUUGAACUCAUCGGAAUAAUAACAAAUACAUGGUUGCCUGCAUAUAUUACCACUCUUGUAACCGAAGCUAUCUGGUACGCAUAGUAGCCUGCAUUUAGUACUACACAUGCGACCAACAAUCUGGUACACGUAGUAGCCUGCACUUUGUACUACACACGUGACCUAACCAUCUGAUACACGUAGUAGGCUGCAGUUAGUACUACACACGUGAUUGAAGUUGUCGGGUACGCAUAGUAGCCUGUACUUAGUACUAUACAUGCGACCUAACUAUUUGGUACACGUAGUAGCCUGCACUUAGUACUACACACGUGACCUAACCAUCUGAUACACGUAGUAGCCUGCACUUAGUACUACACAUGCUACCUAACUAUCUGGUACACGUAGUAGCCUACAUUUAGUACUACACACGUGACCUAAAACCAUCUUAAGCACAGAGUACUACACAUGUGUUCUCACAAUGGAUCAUUCGUAUCAUUUCUAUUCUGAAGGUUCAACCGGGAAAAUCCUCACCUUUCAACAUUUAACAAACUCAUUCACAGUCUAUUUCGAUUCAUAAUUUACAUCAAAUGAUCAUUCUAUAGGUAGCCACAUCUCAUAUAAUAAUGAAAUAUAAUAACAUAAAAAGAAUCGAUAUAUUAUUUACAUACAAACUUACCUCGAAUGCGAGCACAACUAUUUAUUUUGAUUUAAUCCAUAAUCUCAUUCAUUCCCAAUCUAUGCCCGAAUCUCAUUUUCCUUGAUCUAUAAUAUCACAUUUACUGAAUAAUUAGUCACAUUAUUCAUAUGGGUCCAAAAAUCAUAUUUUUACAAAUUUGUAUUUUAACCCCUAAACUUUUACAUAUUUGUACUUUUUCCCCAAGGCUCGUAAAAUGAUUUUUAUCCAAUUUUCUUGCAUUUUAAGCCUAGCCGAAUCAUUUUAAUAACUAUAUCAGCCCCUAAUAUCCACUAAAUCACACUUUUAUGACAAAUUUUGUAACUUUUGCAAAACAGUCCUUUUUGACAGUUUUACCUAAAAUCACUUAGUAAAAGUCGUUUAUUACACACCGAGAAUUCAUUUUCUACCAUUAGACAUCAAAACACAUGCGUUUCAUCCAUGGGUAAAUUUUAAACACAAACCCUAGCUCAAAAUAUGGGUAGAAAUGAGUAGAUCUUGUUACGAGGAUUUCAAAAACGUAAAAAUCAUUAAAAACGGACCUAAAACGAACUUACAAUCAAGCUUGGAAGCUUGAAAAACCCUAGCUAUGUCUUCUCCAUGCAAUUUUCACCCAUGGGGUAGAAGAUGGACAAAAAUUGGCUUUUAAUUUUUUUUUAAUUCAUUUUAAUUAUUAGAUUACCAAAAUGCCCCUAACUUAAAAAUAUUCUAUUUCACCCAUUUCAUGUUCAUUUUUGUCCAAAAAAUUAUUCAAUGGUAUAAUUACCAUUUAAGGGCCUCCAAUUUAAAAUUUCAUAACAAUUAGACACCUCUAACAUGUAGAACUCAACUUUUGCAUUUUUUACAAUUUAGUCCUUUUGACCAAAUUGAGUGCCCAAACAUCAAAAUUUUCGAAUGAAAUUUUCACAAAAUCAUCCCGUGAAAUUUUAGACCAUAAAAAUAUAAUAAAAAAAUUUUACUAUGUCGAAUUUGUGGUCUCAAAACCACUGUUCCAACUAGGCCCUAAUUCGAGAUGUUACAAGGUAGAUAUCCAGAACAGGGGAUAAAUGGAAGAAAGAAUGCAUGUAAGGAAAAGAUAGAGUCUGCAGUUAUGGCAGGAAAUUUGAGGAACCACCAAUAGAUGAGUUCAGGAAAAUGAUUUAGAAACCAUCAUUCCAGGUUAAAAAAAAAUCGUCCUAAAAUAACUAAGAAGUUAAACAUGUUUAGUUUUUUUUUUUUUACUAUCCUUACAAGACGGGGUUUAUUUUUGAGUAAUGCGGUAAAGAUACUCACUAAGAUCUUUUGAACUUAUAUAAUUUUGGCCUAUGUUUGUAGGACACAUUGGCUAAUUAAGGAUCUUGAGGGGAGACCAAGCCAAAUCAUGUUAGAUCAAGGGUCAUCUUCAGUUUGGUGUCAUGCAUUUAGGAAGUGGGUACCUUCAGAAGCUUUACCUCAGUGUUAGAUAUAUUUUAAUUAAAUAGUUUUCUUAGAACUUAGAAUUUCAUGGUAGUCAAAUUAAAUUUGGUUUAAGGUUCUUGUUGUAAAAAACCUUCAACAUGAAGUAGUAAAGUCGUUUAGUGAAUUUUAUGAUUAAAGUAUUAAAUCAAAUUGGUUCAAUUAUGAUUCCCCAUAUAUGGAAUCAACGAUCAAGUUGAUAAGGGUGCUACAAUACUCGUAUAUGAUACUUGUACUCAACUUCCAGUCAAAUGAAGUAUCAAUAGUACCCAAUUUACACCAAGUUAAGAAAUUUUCAAUGAUAUUUUAUGGAAGGCCAAUUCAAAAAACAAAUUUCAUGAUAGAUUUAUAUAUAUAGCUUCUAAACAUGAUAUACCGAGGUUUUUCAGAAUUCAAGUUUUAACAGUGAAACAAUUGGAUUUCCCAUCAAUGAUAUUGAAGAUAGUUGCCCAAGAAAUUCAACAAACCAUAAUUUCUUUGCAGAUUUAACAUUUUCAUUCGAUAUUAAGAAAACUGCAUUUGGGAGUAUUAUCUUGUUGGGUUCUAUUAAACCACCUCAAAAUUGAAAUUACAACAUAAUGAUAACCCCCUAAAAUAAAUCAACAUAUAGAUUACUGACAAAUAGCUUAUCACGAUAUAGAUUUUAUCCAAACAAAUCAGUUGACACAAAAAAAUUAGUAAUUUAUAAAUGGAAAUAUUCAAUAUCUGAAGCUUUAUUUUGAAAGGCAACAAAGCAAUCCAUAACAAGAAUAAUGAUAUCUCUUUGAUUUCUCAUGUAAAUCUACCUAUACCCAUUUAUUGUAUAUAGCUUUACCUGAUCUCCUCAAUCAUCAAGGUUGUGUGAAGCUUAACUUGGUAGGCAUAGGAGUUGGACAAAGCGGUAGCGAAGCUCAGGUGGAUGGUGGUAAUACAAAUGGGUGAGGGAUUGUCAGACAGAAAAGGGAUUUCAGUGGGUGAUACGGGGGGAACUGAUGAGUGUUCAGGGAUUUUUUUGGGGGAUUUUGUUAGGAGGAUUUUGAUUUGGGGAUAAAAG
rnacentral:lncRNA from 1 species